UGGCGGCAGUAGCGCGGUGGUCCCACCUGACCCCAUGCCGAACUCAGAAGUGAAACGCCGUAGCGCCGAUGGUAGUGUGGGGUCUCCCCAUGCGAGAGUA
rnacentral:rRNA from 3 species